CGGAGGGUGCGAGCGUUGUCCGGAAUCACUGGGCGUAAAGGGCGCGUAGGCGGCGCGGGUAGUCAACGGUGAAAGCUUGGGGCUCAACCCCGAGUCGGCCGUCGAUACUCCCGUGCUUGAGCACUGUAGAGGCAGGUGGAAUUCCGGGUGUAGCGGUGGAAUGCGUAGAGAUCCGGAAGAACACCGGUGGCGAAGGCGGCCUGCUGGGCAGUAGCUGACGCUGAGGCGCGACAGCGUGGGGAGCAAACAGGAUUAGAUACCCUGGUAGUCCACGCCGUAAACGAUGGGCACUAGGUGCUUGGGGGAGCGACCCCCUGAGUGCCGGCGCUAACGCAUUAAGUGCCCCGCCUGGGGAGUACGGCCGCAAGGCUG
rnacentral:rRNA from 1 species